rnacentral:lncRNA from 1 species
CUCAGAUCACGCUGUUCUUUAUAAGUUAAAGGAGUUAGCAAUGUGAUAGGAAAAGAAAUACCAAGAUUAGGGCCAGAUGGCCUUCAAGCUAAUUCAACAGGGUGUGGAUUUGUGAUUGGAAUUGUUAUUUGUGGCCACAAUGUAAGGUAUCGAUUGGAUUCUGAAUUAUUUUGACUAUCUUGUUUGUGUCUUUAAACAAGAAUAAAAUUUCCUAUCAGCCUCUGGUCAGCAGGAGUGGAAAUAAGAAGUAAAGGAAACAAUGUGGCUUUAAAGCCUCUGACUCACUAGCUGCCUUUUAGCCUUUUAGGCUUCAGUGCACAGCAGAGCAUGUUCCUCAGAGACAAAUCACCUUUUUCUUCUUUUGUAGCUGUUUCAAUUUGACAAGAGUUCUUCUGAAACUGUGUUUAUGUGUGAAACAGCUGUAGUUCAGGAAGGGAGAGGACAUUUUUUGUUAAUUUCUAAAGGCAGUGGACUCUGGUCAUUCACGCAUUUCUCAAGAGUGAGUUACAUGUCUCUGUGGAUGCCAUGAAGGGUACUGGUUUCUCCUGUGGUAAACUCUUAGUUUUGGUAUCAUGCAGCUGUGGUCCUUGGGUUAAAAAAGUCUCAGGCCUUGGUCUUUAUCAACUGAGGUAAUGUGCCUGUCAUGCUCCUGAAGUAAUAUUAAGUGGAAAUAACAUCUUACAUCCAAUUUCAAAGCCAAUAUAAAAAGAGGAACAUAUUUCCACUGCAGAAGACAAGAAAAAAAAAAAAAACCAACACAACAACCCCAACAACCAAACCCCUCAAAAUUAUCUCUCUUUCCAGGGGACCCAAUCCAUUGCUUUUUGACGUCAAUAGGACCGGGGCUUUUUCAAGGGCACGCAUUUAUCUUGUCAGUGUGGUCUAACCAGCCAGCCUCGCUUCACUGCUCUGGUCUCACACAGGACUGGGUAGUGCGCAGACAUUAUAGCCUCUUUUGGCCUGUCAACAAGCAGAGGAAAAAACAUAUAAUUCUCACAUAUGAUGAAGGACUGGAAGGAAAAGACAGAGAGCAAAAAGUAAAAUGA